GCACAUCAACACUCACACGCAAUCUCGCUGUAUUUCCUUUCACACAACUCACCUAUCUGUUUCUCUCUCUUCUAUUUUUCUGAACUCUUACUCACCUUCUGUUUCUCUUUCUUCUGUUCUUCUGAAUUUCUUCUAAUCUCUCUUGCUCUCACUAUUCAUCUUCCCUAAAAGAAAAGCUAGAAACAAAUCCAUUAUUCAAAUGUUCACGUUUCAUUAGAGCUCUCUUCAUUCAUCCCUAAAUUGCGAUAAUUAAUCAAAUCAAUAACAACAUCAGUUAGAAAAUCCUUUAAUUUUCGAAUCAUGAAAAAAAGAUAAUCGUGUUUCAGAGAAUAUAGGAGAGAGAAAAUCGCCGGCGAGAGGGUUGCUCACCUUCCUGAAGUGAAAACCAUGCUCUGGAAGAUAUGAAGGUGACGUUAAGUCUUCUCUGUAUGCAUCUUCUUGUGUAUGAUGCAGUGGUUGGUUUGAUUGAUCUGGUGGCAGAGCAAAUGUCCAAAUUGCAGAGAAUUCUCUUUAGACGACUUUUAAGCUUCUGAAAGUUGUCUCUCGAUUUGUCUACACAAGAUUUCGGGGUUCGUUGACUGGGUACAUAGAAAGCGGGAAAGGUCCGAAAGUAGCAAGCCUCUUCACUACUAGUACAGAGGCCAAAUAAAAGGUUGCUCAUCAAACAAACGGGAGGAGGUGGUCGACCCGUUCAGUCAAAUUCCGAAGAAAGACUGUUGGCGGGAGGUGGAGACAUUUCUGCGACCCAGGGUUGCGCUUGAAUUGAAGUGAUGAGGUCUCAAAGAGGAAAGUAGGGCUCCUAAGGUAAAUCAUAAACCCUAACCCAUAUUGGGAUAUAAGAAAGUUGAAUGUCAGAGGGUUUGAUUUUACCUUGAAUUUAUAAAUAGUAAAUUUUUUUUGUUAAAUUAAUUAUCAUAAGAGAUAAUUAAUAAUAAUUAUUUUUAAAGGAUGAAUUUUAUUAAUUAUUACUUCAUAAUAAAUUUUGAGGGGUAGUAUUUACGUUAGGGUAAUAUUUAUAUUACUAAUAGUCAAUUUUUUUGUCUAAUAAGGUCAAAUAAGUUUCAAUCAGGUCCAAUAAGUCCAACAAGUUUCAAUCAGGUCCAAUAAGUCUAAUAAGUUUCAAUCAAGGCCAAUAAGGUCUAAUAAGUUUCAAUAAGGUCCAAUAAGUUCCAAUCAGGUUCAAUCAGGUCCAAUAAGUUGAAUCAGGUCCAAUCAGGUUUAAUAAGUUCCAAUAAGUUCAGUUCAGGUUCAAUAAGUUCAGUUCAGAUAAGGUCCAAUAAGUUCAGGGCCAAUAAGUUGAAUAGAACGCACCCUAACUCCUAUUUUGAACCAAUAUUCCCACAAUCAUGAUAGUGACUCAAGGUCACCGAGGACUUCAAAGGAAUUGUACACGAGACAUCUUUUUCUUAUUUUCUUCCAAAUUUGGCGCCAUUUUAGCACAAAGGGUUGUUUUGGCACUUUUUUUUCUACCUUCCUCCACCGACGUUCACCCUAAUUUUCCGACCUUGGUUUUGAACGACAGUAAUGAAGAGCUCUUUUCGGACUAUCUACUAUAUUGAUGGUAAAUCUUGCAUCUUAAGAGUGUGUUUCAUUGGGAGGAAAGUGUUUUCCAUGAAAAUUUAUUUCCUCACUUUCCUCUAUUUAAUUUGGACCGGAUUAAGAAAAGGAAAUAUGAAUUGAACUUCAUUUUCAAAGGUGAUCACUUACCCUAAAGAGGCAAGGGAAGCCACGUUUUCCCCCAACUCUAUCAAACAAUACCAUGCACAACAAAAACAAAGAAAAAUAAGUUCACAUGAAGUUACUUUCAUGUAAUCAAACAAAGGAAAAUCAAUCUACAAUUGAGUUUUAUUAUGGAAAAUGGUUUUCACGAAAUAUCAUUUUCCAUUGGACUAUAUUCGUCCAAUCAAACACACCUUGAAUCUUAAUGACCUAUUACUUGGCAAAUUUUGCUGAAUUUUGGUCAUUCCACGACCCAUUUAUAUGAUUUCAUUUGUCACUUUCCCCAACCAGAUAUAUAUUCUUCUUUGGGUCUCUGCAUUAAUAUUUACCGUGUAUUGGAUUUAUGGGAAUUCUCUUUUUUAUAAUUUUGAUUUUUUGUCUGCCCUAAUGAACGAACCAAUAUGGAUACCAAUCUUUUUGAGAAUUUUGUGCGACCAAAAUUCAACUGGAAGUUCUGGAAGCGCAAUUUAGACUUAUCAUGAAAUGAAGCGACUCGUUUAGUUGAUACAAUUUAUGGUUAUCAUGAAAUGUUUCCUUUUAUAUAUAUAUGGAAAAGCUAACAAGUGCCCAGGGGCAUUAGAUAAGAUAACUAAAAUGGAAAUAUUAAAUAAAUCUAAAGAUUAAUUAUACCAAUUGACGCGUGAUUUUGGUUCUAAGAUUUAUACCAUUCGAGUAAAUAUACAUAGUGCUUAUCUAACAUCCCGAAACAUCCGUUAGCAAGAACCUAAUUACAAUACUAUUAUUACUUAAUUUCCUCACCUACUUAAUUUCAUCAAUAACUAGCCAUUUAAUUUUCACUUAAUCUAUCUAAUUACAUCUACCCCCAUUAAUGAUUCCCUUCCUUUUUCUAUCUACCACCAUGAGCCUCUCCUUCCACAUCAUUCUCAUCAUAUUUGGAGGACUUCCGCAUCACUGAAACCAUGUGUCUCCCUAGCUCGUCUGGCCCGAAACUCUAUCCUCUCUCGCUUGAGCCCGCAUUGCUUCAGUCAGGUCCAAAUCCCCCCUGUAUCAGGUCCAACCACCUGCUUUUUCUUCCUCUUCUCACACGAGCCCAACUUCCCUUUCUUCUUCUCUUUCUUUGGCCUCUUAGCCCACAUGCAAUCCUACUUCUCCAAUGCCUGAUCCAACUUCCACACUUUCUACUGACUCGACCGUGGUAAACGUGGGAAUAUUCCCUCUGUAUUAUUAAAAGAUUUUGUCACUCAUUUUGUGGCCGCUGAAAGUCCAUCUCAACCUGCUUCAUCUCCUUCAGGUAUUAUAGCUCAUUAUAUUAAUUGCACAAAUUUUUCUGAGAAGUGUUGCAAAUUUCUUGCUUCUGUUAUUUCUCACCCUGAACCCAGGUCUUUCAAAGAAGCUAUGAAGCUAAGGAUGAUGGUUGGAAAACUUCUAUGCAUGAUGAAAUUUGUGUUUUAGAGGAUAAUGGUACCUGGAUACUAGAAGAGCUUCGUCCUGGGAAGCAAACUUUAGGUAGUUAGUUGGUUUAUCGCAUUAAAUAUUUAUUUGAUGGGUCUGUGGAACGUUUGAAAUCUCGUCUUGUUGUCUUAGGCAAUCAUCAAGAGGCAUGUAUUGAUUAUAAUGAAACUUUUGCCCCUGUCACUAAGAUGACUAUUGCUAGGGCCUUCUUAGCUAUUGUUGCCUCCAAGACUUGGGAACUUCAUCAGAUGGAUGUUCACAAUGUUUUUUUAUGGUGAUCUAGGUGAAGAAAUUGAUAUGAAACUUCCUCCGAGUUUUGAAUGUCCUAAUCCAAAUUUGAUAUGUCGAUUACGUAAAUCUUUGUAUGGUUUGAAGCAGGCUCCUUGUUGUUCGUUUGCAAAGUUGGUUUCUACCUUGAAAGGCUAUGUUUUUAUUCAGUCUUACUCUGAUUACUCUCCGUUCACUUAUACUAGUGGGAUUGUGCAACUAAAUGUUCUCGUAUAUGUUAGUGAUCUUAUUAUAGAACUAUAUGUUAGUGCAUGCUUCUGGCGCAUUAUUGGAUGAUGCAGCACCCUACAGGCGCCUCGUUGGCCGCUUGAUUUAUUUGGUUGUUACUCUUCUGACUUACCCCUAUGCUGUUCAUGUUCUC